CUCAGCCUCCAAACUAGUGUUCUUGAUUGACAGACCAGGACAAGGCAAGCGGUAUAUAUGACCAGUAUUAUACAGAUGAGGUGUGUGUGUGUGCUGGUCUUGCUGUGUUUGCAGGAAGUGGACUGCAUCCUGCUGAUGGAGGUGACUACUGAGGUGGUGCCACGCCCCAUCCACCCCCCCCUCCCCACCGCUCACCAUGGCAACCUCGCUCGACUACCUGGACUCUGUCGGAGACUAAGGAGACGUCGCCUCAGCUACAUGUGCCACAAGGGACAGUUCUGCUGGGGGGUGCUAGACCACGGUCAGGCCAGUGGUCAGCUGUGUCCAUGUCCACGAGGAUCCAGGUGCUCGCGUGUGUUCAUCCACAGCCUGUGAGCGCCAUCUUGUCUCUUUGUCCAGUAUUACAUACGUCUCUAUGUACUUAGUACUAAGUUCUAAAUAGUACGAGGGUCCCUUUCUAAAGGUAGACCCUGCAUGGGCCUCAUGGAUCAUGAGGACACGGACUUGUGUGAAGAAGUGCAUGUCAAAUGUCAAUCAAUAAUUGUAUAUACAUGUAUGUAUGUACAUUAUAUGCAUGUAUAUUAUAUUCAUGUACAUACAUACAUACAUACAUAAGUUUUAAUUGGAUGAUCCAGACAAUAGUGCUUGAUACCAUGGUAGAGUGCAAUAUCGCACGAUGAUUGAGGGAACCCCUCAUGAAACAGUUCUGUAGAGAUGAAGUAGUCUUCUGAUUUUUCCCACACAUACAUAUAUAUAUAUAUAUAUAUAUAUAUAUAUAUAUAUAUAUAUAUGUAUAUAUAUAUAUA